rnacentral:rRNA from 1 species
CAGUAGCCGCGGUAAAACGAGGGGGGCAAGCGUUGUUCGGAAUUAUUGGGCGUAAAGGGUGCGUAGGCGGUUCAGCAAGUCUCGUGCGAAAUCUUCGGGCUCAACCCGAAGUCUGCACGGGAAACUACUGGGCUUGAGUAAUGGAGAGGUGAGUGGAAUUUCCGGUGUAGCGGUGAAAUGCGUAGAUAUCGGAAGGAACACCUGUGGCGAAAGCGGCUCACUGGACAUUUACUGACGCUGAUGCACGAAAGCUAGGGGAGCAAACAGGAUUAGAUACCCCCGUAGUCCCUGUCUCUUAUAC